UGGGGAAUAUUGCACAAUGGGCGAAAGCCUGAUGCAGCGACGCCGCGUGCGGGAUGAAGGCCUUCGGGUUGUAAACCGCUUUUAAUUGGGAGCAAGCGAGAGUGAGUGUACCUUUUGAAUAAGCACCGGCUAACUACGUGCCAGCAGCCGCGGUAAUACGUAGGGUGCAAGCGUUAUCCGGAAUUAUUGGGCGUAAAGAGCUCGUAGGCGGUUUGUCACGCCUGGUGUGAAAGUCCAUCGCUUAACGGUGGAUCUGCGCCGGGUACGGGCAGGCUAGAGUGCAGUAGGGGAGAUUGGAAUUCCCGGUGUAACGGUGGAAUGUGUAGAUAUCGGGAAGAACACCAAUGGCGAAGGCAGAUCUCUGGGCUGUUACUGACGCUGAGGAGCGAAAGCAUGGGGAGCGAACAGGAUUAGAUACCCUGGUAGUCCAUGCCGUAAAACGGUGGAUGCUGGAUGUGGGACCCUUCCACGGGUUCCGUGUCGGAGCUAACGCGUUAAGC
rnacentral:rRNA from 1 species